rnacentral:rRNA from 1 species
CCCGACCUACGGGGCGCAGCAGUAGGGAAUAUUGCUCAAUGGGGGAAACCCUGAAGCAGCAACGCCGCGUGGAGGAUGAAGGUUUUAGGAUUGUAAACUCCUUUUGUUAGAGAAGAUUAUGACGGUAUCUAACGAAUAAGCACCGGCUAACUCCGUGCCAGCAGCCGCGGUAAUACGGAGGGUGCAAGCGUUACUCGGAAUCACUGGGCGUAAAGAGUGCGUAGGCGGGGUAAUAAGUUAGAUGUGAAAUCCUGUAGCUUAACUACAGAACUGCAUUUUAAACUGUUAAUCUGGAGUGUGGGAGG